AUACAUGUAACGACCCGAAUUUUGGUUUCAGUAUUUGUUAGCAUGCUAACGGCCGUGCAUUUACAUGAGACCCAAAAUUUGUCUAUAAAUAGCCAUCUCUUAGUCUUUGCAACAUUGUUUUCUCCACCUGCAAACAAAGAAAAAGAAAAUGAGAAGUUGAGAGAGAGAGAGAGUUCAAGAAAGAGAGAAUGAGAAACCUUUGAAGUGAAGCCACAAGAGAGUGUUGAUCAUCAACGGAGCUCGCCAUCGACCACUGCACGCCAAGACCAAGUCGAGCUCGUCCUCACCGUUCACAACAGCAAGAAACCGCCGGAGACCACCAUGCUUUUAAGCUUUGUUUCGGCCGUUUUGGUAAAUCGCCCAUAUCUUUUUAACCGUUGCGAAUCUGGUGCAUGCAAAGCCACCAUCGCGUUCCUCUCGUCGAGACGAAUCCGUAGCCACCAGAAUCGCCGCAAUCGGAGCUAGGACGAAGCCGUACGCGCCCUCCAAAGUUUCGCCGGAAAUCGCCUCCGCCACCGCCGGACCACCGCUGCUCCGCCGUAGUUCGCCACCGUCGCCGCCGCCGGACCACCGCUGCUCCGCCGUAGUUCGCCACCGUCGCCGCCGCCGGAACACCGCUUCUCCGCUGCCGGACCGCCGUUACCGCCGAUUUGGAGUCUAUUUGAGCAUCUGGAGUUCAUAGAUACCACUUCUCUACAUUUUCUAAGGUGAGACAAGCAUCAAUGUGAUAUUUGGACGGACUCGGUGCUACUGGACUUUUCCUUCGGAUUUUAUUUUGGGCUUGGGCUGAGAGUAUAGUUAGGUAUAUGGCCUUUUGUAUUAUGUGUUAUGGUUGGUGGCCCGCCGUUCACUAUUUAGUGGAGACUGGUGUCACAUUGUUAUUUGUUGAGGUGUCGGUUGACACGUGGCCAUUUAGUUAGAAAGUGACGGGUGUCACAAUUUUUGGUAUCAGAGCGCGGUUCCGUCCCGGUUCUGUCCCGGGAUGGCGGUCAGGGGAUUCGGUUUUCAACGUUUUCAAAUAUUUUAUAUACUAUAUAAUAAUAAUAAAAA